UGCCUUUCGUCACAUUUUGGCAGGCAUUUUUCGCUGUCAGUGAAAUCAUAACGGGUUUUAUCGGAAGAGAUGACAAGGAUGCUUCAAGCGACGGAGUUGAAAAGGUGGUCCAGGGCCAUGACCCAAAAAGAGGGAACAAGAAAGAUAAAGAGACGGCUGAGCGAGUACCGUCUACCGAAUGCCCUCAUGUGGAGAAAGUAAAUAACAGUUUUUGUAAACCUGAGUUGAGCCGGGGUACAGAUGACAGAAAAGAGGUGCUUCAGGGACAGGACCCCAAAAAAGGGAACAAGAAAGACACAGAGCACAGAA